UACAGAGGUGGCAAGCGUUGUUCGGAAUUACUGGGCGUAAAGGGCGCGUAGGCGGUCCUGCAAGUCCUGUGUGAAAUCCCUCGGCUCAACUGGGGAACUGCACAGGAUACUGCGGGGCUUGAGUUCGGGAGAGGGAAGCGGAAUUCCGGGUGUAGCGGUGAAAUGCGUAGAUAUCCGGAGGAACACCGGUGGCGAAGGCGGCUUCCUGGACCGACACUGACGCUGAGGCGCGAGAGCUAGGGGAGCAAACGGG
rnacentral:rRNA from 1 species